rnacentral:sRNA from 1 species
CUUGGAUGCCGAGCAGAGUUACGCGAUGGCGGUGGAAGCAGGGCAGAGCCGAAGCAGCCCGCUCCUCAAGAGGCCAGUGCGGACCCAGGCGGUGCUGGACCAGUCAGAUGUGUACACCCAUGUUCUGUCAGCCUUCGUGGAAAAGAAGGUGGGCUGCAGCUUUCCGCCUCUUCUGGGCUGAGAAAGCUCAAAACAAGCAAGUUGCGGAAAAUGAGGGGACUUCAUGUGAUUAGAAUCACUGGAGUUUCCUUGGGUGAGGACCUAGAGCUGCUAGUUUGGCUUCUAAUGCUCAGGCCUAAAGCAUAAUCGUUGA